rnacentral:rRNA from 1 species
GACGAACGCUGGCGGCGUGCUUAACACAUGCAAGUCGAACGAUGAAGCCGGAGCUUGCUCCGGUGGAUUAGUGGCGAACGGGUGAGUAACACGUGAGCAAUCUGCCCUUGACUCUGGGAUAACUGCGGGAAACUGUAGCUAAUACUGGAUACGACACCUUGGGGCAUCCCAGGGUGUGGAAAGAAUUUCGGUCAAGGAUGAGCUCGCGGCCUAUCAGCUAGUUGGUGAGGUAAUGGCUCACCAAGGCGAAGACGGGUAGCCGGCCUGAGAGGGUGACCGGCCACACUGGAACUGAGACACGGUACAGACUCCUACGGGAGGCAGCAGUGGGGAAUAUUGCACAAUGGGCGAAAGCCUGAUGCAGCAACGCCGCGUGAGGGAUGAAGGCCUUCGGGUUGUAAACCUCUUUUAGCAGGAAAGAAGCGAAAGUGACGGUACCUGCAGAAAAAGCACCGGCCAACUACGUGCCAGCAGCCGCCGUAA